UACAGAGGUCCCAAGCGUUGUUCGGAUUCAUUGGGCGUAAAGGGUGCGUAGGCGGCGCGGUAAGUCGGAUGUGAAAUCUCGGAGCUUAACUUCGAGCUGUCGGUGGAAACUUUCUGGCUAGAGUCCGGAAGAGGAGAAUGGAAUUCCUGGUGUAGCGGUGAAAUGCGCAGAUAUCAGGAGGAACACCAAUGGCGAAGGCAGCUCGCUGGGACGUGACUGACGCUGAGACGCGAAAGCGUGGGGAGCGAACAGG
rnacentral:rRNA from 1 species